UACGUAGGUGGCGAGCGUUGUCCGGAAUUACUGGGCGUAAAGAGCGCGUAGGCGGCCUGGUAAGUUAGGAGUGAAACCCGUCGGCUCAACCGCGGGGUUGCAUUUGAAACCGUAGUUCUUGAGGGCAGGAGAGGUCAGUAGAAUUCCUGGUGUAGCGGUGAAAUGCGUAGAAAUCAGGAGGAAUACCAGUGGCGAAGGCGACUGACUGGACUGACCCUGACGCUGAGGUGCGAAAGCGUGGGUAGCAAACAGG
rnacentral:rRNA from 1 species